UGAAAAACCGUGAAAACAUAACCAAGCAAGUGCAAAAUUCUUCUCUCCUCAACAAUAGAAAAUGAAUGAAAAUUUGUGUCUAUGAAGAAGUUGACUACACUGUUCUUAAAUGGAUGACUUUGUUAUAUGGAAGUUUCACUGUACAAAUCGAAGAAAACUGCCAGUAGAACAGGCGUGUUUUAAACAGAAAAGAAGCUGUAGUGAACAAGUACUAUCACUAAAAACCUGUUUUUUUUCUUUCGAAAGAAACUGAAAACGGAAGCUGUUUUCCUAAACCUGGCCUGCGCCACGGUGUGGAUACGAGGUUUACUUUUGAAAUUAGCCAAAAUUAUAAAAUGUAAAACAUCAUUGCGACUUAUUGUCAAUAUACUGUCAGACAGAAAAUAUAAAGUUCACCUAAAUGGAAAAGUAAGCAAAUACAAAUUCCUUCAAAAUGGUCUUCCUCAGGGCUCAGUACCCUCCCCCAUCUUGUUUAAUGUCUACACAGCGGAUAUCAUAAAUACCUCGGCGCGCAAAUUUAUGUAUUUAGAUGGGAUCAGCAGCCCAACCAGAAUCUUUUGAAAAGUUGGAGGAUAUAUUAAACGAAGACCUAGUAAGAGUACAGAAAUAUUUCAAAUCUUGGUUCCUUGUCCUUAACCCAAAUAAAACCACAUCCAUGGUGUUCGAUUUGAACAACAGAGAUGCUAACAGAAAACUUAACCUGAUAGUUCAAGGAACUAAACUAAUGAGUGACGCUCCAAAAUAUCUAGGGAUCAAGUUGGACACCUACAACCUACAUCUUGAAGAUGUAAAGAAUAAACUAAAAACCAGGAAUAAUAUUAUUAGUAAACUAGCAGGAACAAGUUGGAGCUGCCGAGCAAAUGUACUCCGCAUAUCGGCCCUAGCCUUGGUAUACAGCGUCGCGGAGUAUUGCGCCCCCGUCUGGGAGAGAAGCAUACACGCUAAAAAGGUUGACACUCAGCUGAAUAAUAUGCGAAUCAUUACAGGAUGUGUCCGGGCUACCAACUUACAGUGGCUUCAUAUCCUUUCAAGUAUAGCCCCCCCCUGGCUGCUCAAAAUUGUUACAAAAAAUCAAUAGAUCAGUGAGUCUUCCUGUAUACAACGACAUAAAUAAUGCAUCCACUAAAAGAUUAAGAUGAAGGCACCCAAUCUGAUCAGUAGAAAAUAGUUCUGACAGAAUGGAGGAUAUGUGGAAACAAUGCUGGGAAGAAGGUAACGCGAAAAACAGACACCUGAUAAGUGACCCUACCCAAAGAGUCCCAGGUUUUGAUUGCCCAAGAGCCAUAUGGACCAACUUAUACAGGAUUCGAACGAAUCUGGGUAAUUGUAACUACCUCCUACAUAAAUGGAAAAUAAAAAACUCUCCUUUGUGACUGCGGACAAAUACAAACCAUCCAACAUAUUAUGGAGGAAUGUCCUCAAACGAGAUACAAGGGAGGAAUUGAGGAACUUCAUACGAGCAGUGAAGAAGCAAUGAGUUAGUUGUCGAAAACUCAGUUCGCUAUUAAAUAUAUUAUGAGCUUCUUUAUUAUUAUUAUUUUUUAGUAUAUUGUAAAUCUAUCUGCCUUAUUCCUCGUUAUUUUGUUAAUUUAAUUUAGUUAUGUUUUUCUCUAAUAAACCUAAAGAAAUGAAAGAAAAAAACUACUGCAGUUUAAAAAUCUGAACUAGUUUGCUGUAAUGCCACCACAUAUUGGGAUUUCACUAUUCAAAACGGCUCAUCACCAGGACCUGUCAUAUCAAAAUAUGACCUUAGCAAAUUUAUGAUUGAAUGGUUUAACUAAACCCGUUUUUAUAAGCAGCAAUGUGGUUUGACAACCAGAAUUUUUUAAACAUUUCUCCAAAAAUGGAAAAUAAUUAUGCAACCAUAAUAUUAUAAAAAAUCUACUCAAAGUCUCUAAUAAUAAUUUACAACAGUAUUUAGAUUAAUUAGUAAAUUAAUUUUAAAAAAACCAUUUCCAAACC